GACGAACGCUGGCGGCGUGCUUAACACAUGCAAGUCGAACGGUGAAGCGCCUUCCUUUUUGGUGGGUGUGGAUGAGUGGCGAACGGGUGAGUGACACGUGAGUAACCUGCCCCCUUCUUCUGGAUAACCGCAUGAAAGUGUGGCUAAUACGGGAUAUUCUGGGUCUGUCGCAUGAUGGGUCUGGGAAAGAUAUUGUUUCGGUGGGGGAUGGGCUCGCGGCCUAUCAGCUUGUUGGGGGGGUGAUGGCCUACCAAGGCGGUGACGGGUAGCCGGCCUGAGAGGGUGGACGGUCACACUGGGACGGAGACACGGCCCAGACUCCUACGGGAGGCAGCAGUGGGAAUUAUUGCACAAUGGGCGCAAGCCUGAUGCAGCGACGCCGCGUGAGGGAUGGAGGCCUUCGGGUUGUGAACCUCUUUCGCCAGUGAAGCAGGCCUGCCUCGUUUGUGGGUGGGUUGACGGUAGCUGGAUAAGAAGCGCCGGCUAACUACGUG
rnacentral:rRNA from 1 species